CCGCCUGGCCGCGGGAUUUAGGUGANACCUGCGGAAGGAUCAUUCACACCAAUGUUGUUCCAAUCCACAUCCACGUGCAUCAACUUUGUGAGGGUCUCAGUUGGCUGGCGAUCGCAUCAACGGCCUCUUGAGUUCGCCUCGUGGCCGGCAGGUCGGCUCGCAGCCGCGGCCAGCGUUCCCAUACCUGCCGGCAGGUGUCUCUUCUACCCAGUUCUUCUGUGUGUCUAAACCUUUUGUUAAGAAUCACAACUUUCAGCGAUGGAUGCCUCGGCUCGAACAACGAUGAAGGGCGCAGCGAAAUGCGAUAAGCACUGUGAGUUGCAGAAUUCCGUGAAUCAAUAGAACCCUGAACGCAUCCUGCACUUUCGGGAUAUCCCUGAAAGUAUGCCUGCUUCAGAGUCUCCACCGUAUCCUGCACCGCUCCUGCGUGUGUGUCUUUGCGCGCCGGCGCCGCCUCUCUCCCACGCCUCGGUGCGGGAGCUGAGCCGCCGACGCGUUCAGUUUAUUGGCUGGCUCGCGCUCGCCUCCAAAAGGUGAUGCCUUCAUCGGCUUUCUCUUUUUGCGGCGGCUUGCGUGAGAAUUUCGGCCCCACCUCUUUGCGGGAGCUUGCUCCCCUCCCAAGACAUGAAGUUAGGCAAGGUUACCCGCUGAAUUUAAGCAUAUCAAUAAGCGGAGGA
rnacentral:rRNA from 1 species